AUGGCGUCGCAAAGAGUCGGACACGACUGAGCAACUGAACUGAACUGAACCAUACCCCACCCUCACCCAUGUUUGUUAUUGUUGGUCAUGGUGUUUAUAUAUUCUCAGGAAGCAUGAAGGUAGAGAGGGCACAGGGAAAUGAAGGCCAAAAACACAUCUUUCAUCCCUUUCUGAAGAGUCUCCGGAGAAGAAGGAGAGAAGAAACAAAACUUAAAUCCAUUUUAAUGGCUCCAGCUUUGUCCUUUUUAACAAGUCAACCAACAAAUCAUUUUUUUUUAACCAGUUUUAGCUAAUAAAGACUUUUAUUUGCAUAUGCUGUUUGCAGUCUUCCUGCGUUCAAGAACUCUGAUUAGGAAUUGUUACUUUCAAACACCACAACUUCCUCACAUAAAAAUGAAGAAUUCUUGGCCACGUUUUCCCCUCCAUCCUCAUCAGGCUGUUAAACCAGGGGUCAUCUACCACUCUCUGGAGUUUAUUUCAAUUCUUAAAUAUAUCUGAAGCGAUUUAAAAAUAUUUGUUACAGUAGAAUAGAUUCUGCAUGGUUGCUGCUGAAUAUGUUUUUCUUUCUUUCUUUCUUUCUUUCUUUCUUUCUUUCUGAGAAGGAAGGAGCAAAACACAUUGUUUGAAAAACAUGUUUUUAAAAUAAUUUUAUAGAUUGCAGAUUUUGUAAAUGAUCAUGUUAAUUGUUGGGAAGGGGUUCCCAACCUUGUUAAUGUCCCCUUCGCAUUAGGCUUUUGUUCCCCAGCAUUGAAUAUGUCAUUUUCUCCCACAGACUGCAUUUCUAGGGGUAUAAUUGCUGUCUCCAUGUAAAAGACAACUCAUGUGCAUAAAUUUCCACUCACUGAAACAAGACUGCCUCCCCUAAUUUUAAUGCAGAUGUGAUCCAGGGGGUAGGGUUACACUUACUCCCCCAAGCAAAAUGAAACAGAUUAUACAUUAAAUAUUGUCUUUGGAACCAGGUGCACAGAAACAGCCAAUUACCUAGACAGCUCAUCACGUCCUGAUAUGUUUACCACAUUGUUUUUUGUUUUCUCUUUAAACAUUUGGUGAAUUAUUCUGAGGCUUUCAUUUCUUUAUAAUGAAGAGAAUAUGCUUAUUAAUAAAGGCCACUUUUGUGUGAUUCACGAACAGUUGCCUCACAAAAAGCCUUUAAAACCACGUUUGAAAGUUUCUGAACUGAACUUGAGUUCCUGUGAAGACAAAGCCUUAUUACUAUGAAGAGGAGCAGUUCUGGCCCUUCUGCUUCUGCUGCUUCCUCUUUUCUACAUAACUGAUAUCGAAAAACAAUUUAAAAGAGGAGAAAGGAUG
rnacentral:lncRNA from 1 species